rnacentral:lncRNA from 1 species
GGGGCUUAUGGCACUUGUGGAGUAAAAGGUUUUUUUUUUUUUUCAAUAUUACCUGUGUCACUGGUUUUAGUUGAUCUCAUUUGGGCUAUUCAAGAGCAUUGAGUAUGCACAUCGUAGCCUACAAGUUACCUCUGUGAAGUAGGGAUGGUCUUGCAUUUUUACAUUGAUUACCUACAGAUCUGCAUAGCCUUGAGGCUUAAUUGCUUACUCUAUUAGGUUUUUCUUGUGGCCUAUAAUUAUCAUGGUUCUUCAUUCGGGAACAAUGAGCCAAUAUUAGCAUUGCAUGAUCCCAUGACGGGAUACAAUUCAUGAAAUUCUUUAAUUUUUAUAAUGAUUGAUGUGUAUUACUGCCACAAAUAGCAUUAAUCUUUCACUGGAUAAAAUCGAGCCAAGGUUUAUCUCUCUCUCUCUCUCUCGCUCUAUCUCUCGCUUUGUAUUCAUAUAUUUUUUUAAUUUACAUAUUGCUGAUUAUUUUACUUAUCAUUACAUCUCUGUGGACCACAUAUUGACCAAUCCUGUGGAAGUUUUACACCCAAAAAUAAAAUAAAAGACUAAUUGGAUAUUUUCCCAAAUUUUAGCAAUAUACAUGUACAUAUGUGAAUAUUCUAUUAAAAGAAGUAAACCGCAAGAUGCUCCUGCUCCUAGUUGGACAAAGAGAAAAAGUGGUGCCAUUUGGUUAUGCCUUGGCUUUCAUACUACCCUCUGAUUAUCCACUACUUUUCUCCCAUCCAACGUCAGCAGAAAAAAAGGGGGAAAAUAAUGACGCGUCAUACUAAACUCUAUUUCUUUUGAUUGCAUGCUAAUGAGGUUCUUCCCCAAAUCCAUAUGCUGGUCAACUCCCUUGAAGACUUUCAUCAUAUUGGGUCAUUCCAGUGAAGAUUUUACCACUAGACUGUGGCUAUAUAAAUGACUCUGGAGUUACAAAUGUCGUGUGUGAUGGAAGUAACUGAGACAGCGUCUUUUACAAUUAUUGUUAUCCGUGCUAUGUAUGCUUGUGCACUGUCUGUACUUGUCUGUUCGUGCGUGUUACAUAAUCAAACUCCAAAAAAGUGACGCUGAAGGUCAUUCCAGAGCACCUCAUUUAUUCAAGAAUAGAUCAUGAGCACUCCCCUUGAUCUUCAUGAGUCUCCUCUUGUUCAGACUGUAUAACCUUCCAUUGUGGCUGUCAGCAUGUUGGCAUGCCCAGCCUCCUGUGGAGGUUCAGUGAUCUCCCAGCUGGCGACCUUCCAUGGUCACUGAGGCUUCUUUCAUACUUCUUCCCUCUUGGGAGAAAUCCUAUUUAUUGAACACCAGUACUCCAAAAGUGGGGAUGACUCUGCCCAGCCAUGCAGGUCAUCAGCUUAUCUGCAUUGGUGUUUCUUCGCUAUCAAGUUGUGCAAAUGCAUGGCAGGGCCAGGAAACCUCCGAUUGGGCAAACAGGCCUAAUAUUCGUCAAUUAAUGUCAUCACCUACAGUGAGUUGAUCAAUUAGCAUUGUAUAGGAGAGCAAGUUGGUGGUCUUGCAAGCCUGUUUUAGUGAAGUGUGUGAGGGAGGAAUGGAUCCAAACUUCAUCAGUUACCAGACUUUGAUCGCUGGGUUGAAGGACAUUGAGAUUAUGUGGUUGAAUAGAGGAGUAGAAAGGGUAGGUGACCUUUGUUAUCUUAAUGUUGCAUACAGGACAAUAAUUAAUAGAUGUUCUGAAGGCAGUCACGUGGGUUGUACAAUUAUUGAAGAGGAGAAGGUUUUCUUUUAAUAUUUUAAUUUCCUGCCAUGACUAUCAUUUAAUAAAUUCCCUUAUAGGAAUCGUAUCCCACAAUCUUUAUCAAUAUCACCUGUGUCACUUGGUUGUGCUACAUCUCACCCAGGGUAUUGAAUAGCAUUGGAUAUCGACGUCUCAGGCGCGUUCUUAAUCUUUCCAAGAUAUGGAUGCCCUUCUGGUGCAAUUUUAUUGAUUAAUAUUGUAGCUCUGAAACCUUCUCUAGGUUUGACUCUCAACAGCUUUGUCAGUUUGAUAGUUUCAGCCGUUAAGAUGUCCUAUUAACAUUGUUUUCAUGCUGCCAGCAAUGUGGUACUGGAAUGGCCUGAUACCUCAGUUGGAUAAACUUCAUGAAAUUGCUUGUUAUUUUCUCAUGCUUGUAUCUCCAUGUAUUACAUAAACUGGGUAAUGUAGUAGAAAUGAUACUGCCGAAAAGAAAAAUGGGAAUGGAUAAUAUACAGAAUUUUAGUAGUUGUUUGAGAAUAGUUUAAUAGGAAGGUGAAAGCUGAUUUAUUUUUCGCAGGAUAGUUGAUAUUUUCCUUGCCCCCGCUCCCCUCCCCCCUUCCUCAAUGUCAUCAGCAGUCCUAGUAGAAGGAAGAAAAGGAAGGGAAGUGGGUGGCUACAUCAAGUGGUAACGACUGGAUUUUUUUCCUUCUUUACUUCUUCUUUCUUCUCAUUAAGCUUUUCGAGAAUAUUUAUCAAUAUACAAAAGACUUAUUUGAAGAAUGUUUUAACUGUAUUAUUUACACAGCUGUAUUUUUAUUAGCGUGAUUCUAGAGAUCAUUUUUUUUAUCAGAUCCCGCCAAAAACGGUUAUACCUAAGAAAUGUUUCAUCUCUAGUGACUUCUCAUGACUGAAGAUCAGAAACUGAACGGAUUCGUCUUAUUUAAUAAAAGAAAUAGUUAGCAGUAUCUCAAGUUGGGUUUUAUCAUCUUCAAAUUGAUUUUCUAUUCUUCAGCAAAUUUACUCUAAAGAAAGUUUCAGUUUCUAAUUGAAUCUUGUCUCGAAUCAGCAGUUAGUCUUGUCUUGAAUUAUAUUUCUUCUUCAUUAAUCAUAUUAUAUUAACUAAAUUAUAUCUAUAUUCUUCUUUUAUGUAUGAGAUAAUUCUCUAGGGAAUAUGCAAAAUUGGGAAAGAAGAUUCUAUUACGUCAAUGUGCAGCUCUCCAUUGUUGUCCUGAGCAGUGUUAGAUUUGUUUUAAAUUUUUUUACUUUUUCAGAAGAGGAAAAUUAAUCGACUCCCGAUCCCUCAUCUCUACCUGAUGACGGAAACCUACUAUUGACUUCCUACUCUUCGAUUGGUCUUCGUGCGUAGGUAUGUUCCUUAAUUAUUAUUCACUUGGUUUUUGAGAUUUUUGUAUUUGAAGCAGUGUUCUUCAGUCUCAUUCUUUAUAGUGAUCCAAAACUGUUAUUGAAGAAUCUCUUUUUUCCCAGUAAAAUUAAAAUAGUUCAGCCAUAUGUUGAAUUAUGCAUCUUACUUUGAAUUGGGGUUCUAAACAAUUCUGGGCCUUCAGGAAUGAUCUAGCCCUUAAUAAGAUAACAACAUUUAGGGGAAAAAAUCUAUUUUUGGAUCAAACAUAGGCAUAUGAGAGCAAAAUGACCUUUAAUGGCACGCCCAUAAAAAAUGACCGACUGUUUAGAUAGAGUUUCUGGUUGAUGAUUCCUUUCCUCACCAUUUCUUUUUCCUUUCCAUAUCAAUCCUCAUUACCAUCAAUUUAUAAUGUAGACUGACUCCUCCCUUGGUUGAAAAUAAUACUCAGGCAUGAAGAGGCUCCGUCAAGAGGCUGAAGGUUGAGCAAGGGAGGACAGCUGAGAAGAACAAGGGUAACCAGGGGAAGUGGGUUUACUCACAAGGACCUGCUCUCUAAGGGCCAGUUUUCUCAUGGGUCCUGAAAAUGUCGCCCCCAAACCCUAUGGAGGAAAGUUUACUCCAGGGAUUUGAGAAAUUUUCUGCUUCAUUUGUCUCCAUCAAAGAAUAUUAAUUCCAUAAUAAUUAAAGAAGUAUCAUCGUCGCUCUCCCUCUUAGAAGUCUUUGUAUUAGCCCCCCUCCAUCUCCUCAUCAUGCCCUACCUCCCUUUCAACUACAUCAAAGAGGACUAAAUUCUUGUCUCUCAUGUUUCACAAGCC